rnacentral:rRNA from 12 species
UCUUAAUGUAAUUCUGGUAGAAUCCUGCCAGAUCUCGGAAGCUAAGCAAGGCCGGGCCUGGUUAGCGCUUGGAUGGGAGAGCACCUUGGAAGACCAGGGGCUGUUAGCC